rnacentral:rRNA from 1 species
AUUGAACGCUAGCGGCAUGCCUUACACAUGCAAGUCGAACGGCAGCGGGGGAGAAGCUUGCUUUUCCUGCCGGCGAGUGGCGAACGGGUGAGUAAUACAUCGGAACGUGCCCUGUAGUGGGGGAUAACUAGUCGAAAGAUUAGCUAAUACCGCAUACGACCUGAGGGUGAAAGUGGGGGACCGCAAGGCCUCAUGCUAUAGGAGCGGCCGAUGUCUGAUUAGCUAGUUGGUGGGGUAAAGGCCUACCAAGGCGACGAUCAGUAGCUGGUCUGAGAGGACGAUCAGCCACACUGGGACUGAGACACGGCCCAGACUCCUACGGGAGGCAGCAGUGGGGAAUUUUGGACAAUGGGCGAAAGCCUGAUCCAGCAAUGCCGCGUGUGUGAAGAAGGCCUUCGGGUUGUAAAGCACUUUUGUCCGGAAAGAAAUGGCUCUGGUUAAUACCUGGGGUCGAUGACGGUACCGGAAGAAUAAGGACCGGCCAACUACGUGCCAGCCGCCGCAGUAA